rnacentral:lncRNA from 1 species
UCUGCUUUGGCACCUUUCGGAUCCGCGCUGCUGCGUGCGAUGGUUCUAAAUCAGUGCAGGUCGUCGCCGCGGGAUAGUAGGGCCGGCGGAUUCUUCGCAUCGGGGGCCGGCUGGCAGGGGAGGGUCAGGAGGCCGGCAUGACUUGCUAACGAGCAGAGGUCAGCCGCGCUCUCGCUUUGACCGUUUGCUCUCUCUCUCUCUCUGUCUCUCUCUCUCUCUCUCUCUUCGAUUGUGUCAGGACCCCGGUUCUAAGUCACACCAAUCUAGCCUGUAACACCUCAUAUCACUUUGCGGCCUCACGCACGGUAUUCCCACGGGUGUCGCCUUACCAUGGCCCGGGACCAUUUGCGUCUUUUGGCUCACGUAUAUGAUAGUGUCGCUAGCAUCCAUAUGACAAAGAACCCGAGCCGACGUGACUAGUCGUGAACCCAAAGUGGCACUAACUUACGGGGACAGGCAUACAUGAAUCAACAUCUAGCAUGUCGGUCAGCAGCGUGCGAAUCUAGGCUGUAGCAUUGGGCUAACAAGACUCCGGGAACCCGGGCUAUAGCAGGCUAGGCAGGACUCCGGAUGUCACCGCGUGACAUUUCCCCGAAGGGACAGACAUGGGAACGAAGUGAAUCACAUGCCGGCCAGUCUAAGUGUUCCGGAGCAGUAGUGCUGGGCUAGCAGGACUCCGGUGAACCGGGCUGUAGCGGACUACUAUGGCUCAUGGAAGCACAAGACUACAUUUCCCCAUAAGAGAGGCUACCAAGGAUGAACAACUAGGUUGUCGGAUCCCACACAUACCAAGCAUUUCAAUCAUACACACAAUAUGCUCGAUAUGUGUAAAUACAACAUGGCAUCACAACAUAACUCUACGACUCAAGUAUUUAUUCAUUAGGCUCCGAAGAGCGAGAUAACACAAACAUGGGUCUCAUGACCCAACAUUCAGAGCAUACAAGUCAAAGCACAUGCGGAAGCUUAACAUGUCUGAGUAUAGACUUCUACAAAUGAAAAAGGCUGAGAAGCCUGACUAUCUACCAGAUCCCACCGAGGGCACAAGAUCGUAGCUGAGCUAUCAAGCUAAACGUCGAAGUCCACGUGGAACUACUAGACUGAAGUCUCUCUACAAAACAUAAAAUAAGCAAACGUGAGUACAAAUGUACCCAGCAAGACUUACAUCAGAACUAUCUACAUAUGCAUCGGUAUCAACAAAGGGGUGGUGGAGUUUAACUGCAGCAAGCCAGCUUUGACUCGGUGGCUAUCCUGAACUACGAUUGCAAGUAACUCUUUUGAGGUGGCGCACACGAGUCCAUAUAUUCACCAUACCAAUACGCCAUCCAUAGCACUCACGCUUAUCUUGCGCAUUUUAGAGUAUCCACUUUCACUUGUCUAUGAACUAUGCAAGGGGUCCAAGUUUCCAUAUCCGAGGAAUCCGGCUAUUCGAAUAGAUAAUGAUAACCCUGCAGGGGUGUACUUCUUCACACACGCUCUCGCCACUUAUCGCCCUGUACACGUCAUGUACCUCGGUAACCUUCAAGCGAAAGCCGGGCGAGAGUGUCGGCCACGACCUGACUAACCACACAAGUCUCUUGUCCAGGUUUAUCGCCUAUUCGGGUUCCAUCCGAGAGGAGAUCCGGCCGGGAUGUCGCUCACGGCCCCAAACGAUGUGUGCAGGGUUCCCAAGCCCACCAUCCGGGUGCCACUUGGUACACCGUGCCACUGUGCCUAAUCUGUCCCAAGCCCACCUGUACCGGGUGCCACUUGGUAGACUACUAACACUACCUACAAACACCAGAAACUAGUUGCAACUCCUGGACAGAUAUCGAGUUGAUUAAUAAGUCGAGAGGGCUCGAGUUACCGAAACCCAAUGUGUGGUAGUAACUGUUCAUGGAUCACAAACACAGAACUCAGUUCCUGAGGACGGCUGCAAUGAGACAACCCACCAUGUACUCCUACAUGGCCUCUCACCGCUACCUUUACCAAAUCGUGUUCACACACUUAGCUCUCAACGGUAGGACAUGUUCACCACGUUCCAAUUCAUUCCCGAUGAAUCAGACCUGACUCAACUCUAAGCAGCAGCAGGCAUGACAACAAGCAUGAAUGAGUAGGCACAUCAGGGCUCAAACAAUUCCUACUCAUGCUAGUGGGUUUCAUCUAUUUACUGUGGCAAUGAUAGGUCAUGUAGAGGAAAGGGGUUCAGCUACCGCAGCAUGUAACAGUUGAAAUGGUGUUGUCCUAAUGCAGUAAAAGAGAGCAGGAGCGAGAGAGUGGAAUUGUAUCGGAAUGAACAAGGGGGUUUUGCCUGCCUGGCACUUCUGAAGAUAUUAUAGCUCUUCAUCGGUGUCAUCGAACUCAUCGUCGUAAGCACGUCUAUCGAGAGGGGACGAAUACCGGCAACAGAGAAGGAGAGCACAAUCAAUGCAAUGCACAAUACGAUGCAUGAUCAUGAAAUGUCAAUAUGCUGUGUUUUGUCCUAAUGCAACUAGCAACACAAUUAAGUGUAGUUGGUUUGAACCCAAGGUUCAAAUUCAAACUCCACAUAUGGUUAUUUAAAUGCCAUUCAUUUGAUUUAUCCUAAACAUUAGCCAAAAGUUGUUCUAACAUGCAUGAAAAUGGUACAGAUGGAUAGAUUGGAUUUUUCUGAUAAUUUUUCAUAUAUAAAUUAUUUCAUUUGGAGUUAUAGAUAAUUUUCUAUGAUUUUUAGAAGUUUUGGGCAUUUUCUGGAAUUUCCUGAAUAAACUUAAAUCCAAAAAAUGAUUUAUAGCGUCAGCAUGAUGUCAGCACUGUGUCAGCGAGUCAACGGGCCAGCCAGGGUCAAAUCUGACCAGCGAGGCCCGCUGGUCAGUGAUAUAGAGGUUAAUCCCGCGUUGACUUGUACUUUGACCCGCUAUGGGGCCCGCAGUCAGUGUCUAGAGGUGGUCCAGCUGGUGUGGAUUAGUGCUAAUGACCUCGCCACGUCGGCUGUCACCGGAGUUCGGCCGGCGACGACCAAUACCGCGGCGGCAGCUCGCCCGACCUGCGCUACGAGCGGCGGCUGGACGCGCGGAGACCACAGGGGCGUAGCCAGGGCUCGCCCGCAUCCAGGGGAGCAGGUGGAAGGCGGCGGGGACGCCGGAGCAGAGCUUGCGGUGGCGGCCGGAGUUCGGGUGAGCUCGGAAUCGACGCGGUAGGGCACGGAAAGAGCCAAAACUGGGUGUGUUCGACUCCUGGGGGUGCACUGAAUGCAGUGGUGAGCUCAUACGUGUGCUUGCACGGCCGUAGCCACGAAGGCGACCUGGCCGGUGGUGAGGUGCUCUCGGCUCCGGUGAAAACGGCAGCUACAUGGAGAAAUCGAUGCGGGAAGGAGGGGGUUCGGUCCGUGAACUCACAGAGAAGACGAUGGGAUGAUCAGCAUGCUCGGGGGAGGCCUGGAGGCGACGAGACGGGGGCGGCGAUCUCGGCUAGCCGUGGUUGAAGAUGAUGUUGAGGGCGUCGCUUCGGGUCUCUCCUGGUCACGUGACUCGGCAAGGAGGACAGCGAGGUUGCUGCGGAGCUCACGGUCACGUCGGCGGGGUGAGGAGACUACGGUGGGCGCGUCGAACGGCAUCGGUGGCGAUGGUGGCGCUCGGGCAGCAGCGGGGAAGAGAGCAGAGGAGGAGAGGGGCGACCAGAGGGGAUGGGAGUUGACGAGGGGGUCGGGGGGUGCGUGGCAACGCCUAGGCGCGUCGGGGCAGCGGCGGGAAGCAGGAGGUGGCGGGGCGCGUGCUCGCGCGGGGCGGCCACGCGCGCGCUGUCCUCCUGGCGGGAGGUAGGUGGUGACUGGCAGAGGCCAGUGGGUUGGGCCUCUACUGGGCCGCCAGGUAAGCCCAGGUGAGGUUCCUCUCUCUCUUUCAUUUCUUGUCUGUUUCCUAUUUUCUGUAAUUUGUUUGAUUUGAUUUGAAGCAUCAAAUCAUUUAGAACUUUCUGUAAAUUUUUAUGUGAGCUCAGGAAACUUGUCCAAGGCCACAUGCAAACUUACAAAAAUUAUUUGAACGUUAUCUCUUAUAUAACAGAAAUAAGUCCAACUCAAAUAUGUUAUUAAUUUAAUUCAAAGGCCCAAAAUAAAUAUUUUAAAGCCUCCAAAAAUAUUGGUUUGAAUUUUAUUCUUGCCAAUAUUUUUCAAGGUUUAGCAGGAACAUUUUCUUGGGCUUCUUUGAGAAGAUUUUAAUGUUGAUCAUUUUUAAAAGGUUUCUGAGGCUUUGAAAAUUCCUCAAUUCAAAUUUCACUUGAAUUUAAACAUGAUGCAACACAUGACUAGCUAGCUCAGAGCAUACUAGAACUAGGGAUGUGACAGAUUGGAUUGCCUCUCCUUCACCGGUGGUGUGCUCUUGUCGGCUGCAAUGUCAUCCAUACUCUGGACGGGACUGCUGGUUGAGAUUCGUUCUCCUUUCCUGAUCUUGCCGUGUACCCUUGUUUUUCUAUGCCCUGCUGAUUUUGUGUUCUUCCUUGUAUCCGCGUCGUGCGCAGGUUGAUUAUCUUGCCAUCCUCUCCUGCGUCCACUGUCGCGC